AAGAAAUGCAACUCACAGGGUCUUCAGAAAAUCAGGACACCUUUCAAGGCAGCCAGUCUAACCUUUGGCAGAACUGUUACAUUAAUCUUCCUUAAAGAGAAUGUUGUGGGUGCCACAACAGGCCUGUUGGAACCUCUCCAGAAACUGUGGCAUAUGUAUUAAACUAAGCUUGAGCAAGAUGAAAAAACUACAUUUGAGGUUAAGUGAAUUGCCCAAGGACACAGAACUUAUAAGUAUCUGAGGUCCUCAAAUUGUUUCCUUUUUGUCUUCCUGCAUCACUGAGUUUUGCCCAUCUUUAACUGUAAGCAUUCAGAAGGUAGGAGGGGAUUAUCCAUUACUUCAGACUACAUGGUGCCACGAAAGAAUGGAGCAUGAAGAACAUAGUGUCCUGUUAAGAUUAUAAUAAAAAUCAUGUUUCCCAAGGUGACA
rnacentral:lncRNA from 1 species